AUUCAUCGAUUAGCAUCUUGAAUGUAAUAUGAAUGUAGAAGCAUGCUGAAAUGAAUAUUUAAAUUAUACAUGUUGGACUUGAAAUUUGACUUAGGAGAAAACCUGCGUUUUGACCCGUCAUAUGCUUAAACUACCAGAUUUAGCUCUAGGAGCCGUGUUUCGAUUGUAUCGUUGCCGUAUUAGUGCGAUGGAUACCUGGGGUAGUUUAGAAGGCAUUUACGCUCGUGCUGAGAUGCCGAGCUUAUUUUUCAGCAGAGUUUAGGCUAUUUCGGGUCGUUGGGUGCCGUUCGGGUUAG
rnacentral:lncRNA from 1 species